CAGGCCGGGGCGUGACCGCUGAGCCGCAGUUCCCGGGCCAGCCUGGGGCAGCCGGGCAGGAACCACCCGUUGAGGUGUCUUCUCUUUAGGGAUGGUGAGGUUGGCAAAAGGCUCCUGUAACCCUCCUCCAGGAUGAACCAUCUGGCAGAAGACAUGGAGAACGCUCUCACCGGGAACCAGAACUCCCAUGCUUCUCUGCGCAACGUCCAUUCCAUCAACCCCACACAACUAAUGGCCAGGAUUGAGUCCUAUGAAGGAAGGGAAAAGAAAGGCAUAUCUGAUGUCAGGAGGACUUUCUGUUUGUGUGUCACCUUUGACCUCUUAUUUGUAACGUUACUGUGGAUAAUAGAGUUAAAUGUGAAUGGAGGCAUUGAGAACACAUUAGAGAAGGAGGUGAUGCAGUAUGACUACUAUUCUUCGUAUUUUGAUAUAUUUCUUUUGGCAGUUUUUCGAUUUAAAGGGUUAAUACUUGCAUGUGCUGUGUGCAGAUUGCGCCAUUGGUGGGCAAUAGCGUUGACAACGGCAGUGACCAGUGCCUUUUUACUAGCAAACGUGAUCCUUUCAAAGCUUUUCUCUCAAGGGGCUUUUGGCUGCCCAUCAUUUCAUUCACCCUUGCCUGGAUUGAGACGUGGUUCCUGGAUUUAAAAGUGUUACCUCAAGAAGCGGAAGAAAACAGACUCCUGAUAGUUCAGAGAAGGCAGCACUUAUACCUAGUGGUCUUUCUGAUGGUCAGUUUUAUUCCCCUCCUGAAUCUGAAGCAGGAUCUGAAGAAGCUGAAGAAAAACAGGACAGGGAGAAACCACUUUUAGAACUGUGAGUACUACUUUUGUUAAAUGUGAAAAACCCUCACAGAAAGUCAUCGAGGCAAAAAGAGGCCGGCAAUCGAGUCUCCCUGUUGACAGUAAAGUUGAAAUGGUGACGUCCACUGCUGGCUUUAUUGAACAGCUAAUAAAGAUUUAUGUAUUGUAAUACCUCACAGACAUUGUACCAUAUCCAUGCACAUUUAGUCACCUGCCUGUGGCCGGUAAGGUAAUGUCAUGAUUCAUCCUCUCUUCAGUGAGACUGAGUCUGAUGUGUUAACAAAUAGGUGAAGAAAGUCUUGUGCUGUAUUCCUAAUCAAAAGACUUAAUAUAUUGAAAUAACACUUUUUUAGUAAGCAAGAUACCCUUUUAUUUCAGUUCACAGAAUGGAAUUUUUUUGUUUCAUGUCUCAGAUUUAUUUUGCAUUUCUUUUUUAACACCCUACAUUUCUCUUGUGUUUUUUAACUCAUGCACAUGUGCUCUUUGUACAGUUUUAAAAAGUGUAAUAAAAUCCAACAUGUC